rnacentral:ncRNA from 2 species
AGAUGAGGUAGAGGUGCGAAACUCAUUAGUAUUACCAGGGAGAUAAGGGAAUUUAUGAACUGGUAGAAAGGGGAUUUCGCCGAAGUCUGAUAAUUACCCUAAAUUAUUAGGCUGGGACUGUGCUGAAUAAGUACAGUACUGUCACUUAUGGCUACCCAAGUCAUAAGUGGAGUGCUAUCUCAUUG